rnacentral:misc_RNA from 1 species
UCUGGCUUAAAGCCAAGCGGUCUCACUAGAGUGCCCAACUAAAUGAUGGUAACUAGUGACACGGGUUGCGCUCGUUGCGGGACUUAACCCAACAUCUCACAACACGAGCUGACGACAGCCAUGCAGCACCUGUCUCCGGGUCCCCGAAGGGAACCCCUGGUUUCCCAGGGUAGCCCGGGAUGUCAAGUCUGGGUAAGGUUUUUCGCGUAGCAUCGAAUUGAACCACAUGCUCCACCGCUUGUGCGGGCCCCCGUCAAUUCCUUUGAGUUUUAAUCUUGCGACCGUAAUCCCCAGGCGGAAUACUUAAUGCGUUAGCUUCGACACCGACACAAUUAGGUAUGCCGACGUCUAGUAUUCAUCGUUUAGGGCGUGGACUAC